CUUGCCUGUGAACUUGACCUCAAUUGGGCUAACGUUCUUUCCGAUUGACCUGAAAUUUUGGCCCACGCCUUGGCGCCCUGGGUUCACCUUCUCAGGGUAGACACCAUCCUUAGGAUGCAAGUACUGCACCUCUCCAUUGGGGAACACCCUGUAAAACUGGUACUUGAUCUUGUACUUGGACCUUAGCCUAGUCCCGAGAGCCAAGCACUGCUCCUUCCUGGCCAGCUUGAGCAAGUUAGGGCCUUCCCUCAUGAUGGCAGCACCCCCAGUCGGCAUUUCAAAUAUCUGUUCCUUGGGGGAGUCCCAUGUAAUCACAUAAAACUCCUCCACCUGGGCUUUCCUCAACAGCCCACCAGUGCUUCCACCAAAAAUUGGUGAUGGGGUACUCGGGUCCAACUCAGGU
rnacentral:lncRNA from 1 species